GACGAACGCUGGCGGCGUGCCUAACACAUGCAAGUCGAACGGAGAUGAUGGGAUAGCUUGCUAUUUAAUCAUCUUAGUGGCGGACGGGUGAGUAACACGUGGGCAACCUGCCCCAAAGAGGGGGAUAACACCGAGAAAUCGGUGCUAAUACCGCAUAACAUUAGAGCUUCGCAUGGAGCUUUAAUCAAAGGAGCAAUCCGCUUUGGGAUGGGCCCGCGUCUGAUUAGCUAGUUGGUGAGGUAACGGCUCACCAAGGCGACGAUCAGUAGCCGAUCUGAGAGGAUGACCGGCCACACUGGAACUGAGACACGGUCCAGACUCCUACGGGAGGCAGCAGUGGGGAAUAUUGCACAAUGGGGGAAACCCUGAUGCAGCAACGCCGCGUGGAGGAAGAAGGUCUUCGGAUUGUAAACUCCUGUCUUCUGGGACGAAUAAUGACGGUACCAGAGGAGGAAGCCACGGCUAACUACGUGCCAGCAGCCGAC
rnacentral:rRNA from 1 species